GUCAAAUCAUCAUGCCCCUUAUGACCUGGGCAACACACGUAAUACAAUGGCGUUUGAACAGAGGGAAGCGAAGGGGCGACCUGGAGCGAAGCCCAAAAAAGCGUCUCAGUUCGGAUUGCAGGCUGCAACCCGCCUGCAUGAAGUCGGAAUUGCUAGUAAUCGCGGAUCAGCACGCCGCGGUGAAUACGUUCCCGGGCCUU
rnacentral:rRNA from 1 species